rnacentral:rRNA from 1 species
CCUACGGGUGGCAGCAGUGAGGAAUAUUGGUCAAUGGGCUAAGGCCUGAACCAGCCAAGUCGCGUGAGGGAAGACGGUCCUAUGGAUUGUAAACCUCUUUUGUCGGGGAGCAACGAGGCCACGUGUGGCCGAAGUGAGAGUACCCGAAGAAAAAGCAUCGGCUAACUCCGUGCCAGCAGCCGCGGUAAUACGUAGGGGGCAAGCGUUAUCCGGAUUUACUGGGGGUAAAGGGGGCGCAGACGGCGAUGCAAGCCAGGAGUGAAAGCCCGGGGCCCAACCCCGGGACUGCUAUUGGAACUGCGUGGCUGGAGUGCAGGAGGGGCAGGCGGAAUUCCUGGUGUAGCGGUGAAAUGCGUAGAUAUCAGGAGGAACACCGGUGGCGAAGGCGGCCUGCUGGACUGCAACUGACGUUGAGGCCCGAAAGCGUGGGGAGCAAACAGGAUUAGAUACCCUUGUAGUC